ensembl:lncRNA
GCAGCGGUCUGUAGAUCUUCAUCCUGUGGAGGUCAUGAGUGUGUGAAUGUAGAAAAAUCUCCGAUGUACGUCCAUACAGACACUUGUGAGAUACUUUGGACAUCGAGAAGUCCGGAGUGGACCGCAGUGAGAAGGAAGCAUUAUGUAAACGCCGGAGCUGUGACACUUGGCCCGUGGACAAAGCUAAAGAAAUGAUCUAUGGAGCAGUGUGCUCGUGUUGUUGUUGGUGGGCGGCAGCUGCAUUUACCACUCGAGCCUGUUGUUCCCUCUGACUUAAUGAGCAACAGGGUUCAGCGAGCGCACGGAUAUCAUGCUUAUCACAACACCACCAAAUGGCCGGCUUUUAUUUCCUAUUUUAUUCAAAAUGGGCCAAUCAUUUUUAUGAAAUGUACAUUUAGUGUUGAUCCAGGCAAUAAACGUCAAAAACGAGGUACUGUGGUAAAGAAUCGAUUGAGAAGUAGGGUAUUUUUUUAUUAUAGACUUUAAUCAAAUUAAUGUAGGCCAGUAGAAAGAAUCCAGGUGUGAGGAACUUCCACAUUGAGCUCACUGUUCAGAACUGGAGGUUCAAAAACAACUUUCCAUUAGGUGAAGCUCAGGCCUUUUAUUGCUUAUAUUCAAUAUAAAUUCAGUUUUAACUGUUACAGAGCCAACUAUCUAUGGCUGAUAUUUGUUUAUAUGGUUUAUAUGCCUUUGUCUGCUGCUUUAUUUAUGCUUCCUCCUGAUCCAAAGGACACAGUGGUCUGCUCAGACCCUAUAAUAAAGCAUUUUAAUGCCUUUGGCAGUUAUUGUUCAGAUAUUAACGUUCUCAUUAUGAGACUUUUACAAGAAAAAUGUCAUUUAAAAAGCCAUUAUGAAAUAGUUAAUUAUGCUGCGAGAAUGUCUAUAUAAAGCAUACAGCUGUUGUCAAUGCUUCAUUGCAUUCAAUUUGCAGUACUGACUUAAUUUUCCAGUUUGGUGGUAAACAAAUACUGUGUUGAAGCCUUUUGUUCUUUAACGCACCUCAGAUAGAGUCUCUUGAUUCCAUGGAGUUCUUCUUGUGCUUCUGGAUCACAUUCACAGCGUCUUGUCUCCCCCUGCAGGAUACUUGCAGAUUUCAACACUCUUUUGGUUUUCUCUUGCAACACUAGCUGUCACUGCAAUACAGGGUGUGGACAUACGGCUGUAUAGUUGCCUUUGCCUCAUUCAAUUUAACAGUUCAUAUGGACUGAUCAUGAGACCUGAAUCUUCCUCAACUCUGUGUUUCAUGGCUCCAGAGGAUUAUGCCACAAAAUCUACUACAAAAUGAUGAGAAAUGGUUUGUAUAUUACUUUUAUUGAAACAAAGACAGCAGAUUAUAAAUAAAAUGAGCAUUUUUAAUAAUUGCCUCAAUCUAGAUUAUGUUUUGGUGCAACUUUCCUCAAACUGUACCACCUAAUAAUUCAAUAAGACUACUUUAGCAUUCAGAUGGAGGAUUUACACCUGAAGCCUGAAAAAAAGAGUGAACAACACUGAUAUCUGCUAACACUGUGUCCAGACACCUUAGAGGUGAAGUGAAAUGGCGCUAAAAGGAAAAAAACGCCAGCUAAGCUUUGCACAUGGGUCAUUCAAAAUCCACAUUCGUUAUAUAAGUUUUAAUUUAGUUGAAAAUUCAAAAAAAAACUUGCGACCCAAGAGACUUCAGAUGCUUUGGGCCACGAUGAGCUCAGUCCUUUUCUUUUGGGGAAACACAAAAAGCGAACUGUACGGAAUGCCAGGCUCAUCGUGUAUUUCCUUCUUGUUCGAUUUCACAAUAAAUGUGGAUGCGCUGCGAACUCAUUACACCACCCGGUGCUAAAGGGCGCAUGAGUCAUCGCGGCCCCUCUCCCCAGAGGGCUGUAUGAGACGGCUCACAGAAGCCCACGUGCUGCUUUUUUUUGCCCUCGCUGAUGUCAUAUCCAGAGACUUCCUGAACACAAGGUUCAUUCACACAGCCCUCCUUCUGACACGGGACCAAGCACCAAACAAGCUGUCUCCAUAGCAACUGCAGCCUCUGGGAGAGGGGAGGUUGUUGUUAUUAUUUGUUGUUUAUGGGAGGAAUGGGAUUUGAAGUUUUACUUGGGUGAACAAUUUUUAUGUUAAAUAUAUGACUAAUAAUAACUGAUGAACAAACACAACUUGAUGAGUCACUAGCUACUGUUGGUCUACUAAGUUUCCUCUCAUACUAAGAGUGAAGAGACAGCUUUGAGCGGUCUGUACUGCACACACUGCACUGAAGGAACACUUGACGUUCUCCUGUCAAGACCUUAAAUACAUGUUUAAUAUUCAUUCGUGAGAGAAACGGCAGGAGGAAUAUUGCAUCGAAACAGAGACAAUAAUGAUGUAUAUGAUUAGUAUUUAUUGCUACUUAAGAAUACAAAAAUAGCAUGAAGAGGUUUUUUAAGGCGGCACAAGGUCUAGUAGAGGCGACAACAUCAUCAAAGGAAAUAAAAUAAGAACGUAUUAAAAACAUUUUCAUUUGCGAUGAUCUCUUUAAAGAUUGUAAAAUGAUAACAAAAGCAGAAACAAAACUAAACUAUGGCCACAAACAAUUUAUGUAUCAAAAUUCACUUGAGAAAUAGUUUUACAUUGUAACAAAACAGAUAACAUAUGAUGAUAACUUGAACUUUGU